AUGCACGCUGGCGGCGUGCCUAAUCCCUGCCAGUCGAGCGAACAGACGAGGAGCUUGCUCCUCUGACGUUAGCGGCGGACGGGUGAGUAACACGUGGAUAACCUACCUAUAAGACUGGGAUAACUUCGGGAAACCGAAGCUAAUACCGGAUAAUAUAUUGAACCGCAUGGUUCAAUAGUGAAAGACGGUUUUGCUGUCACUUAUAGAUGGAUCCGCGCCGCAUUAGCUAGUUGGUAAGGUAACGGCUUACCAAGGCAACGAUGCGUAGCCGACCUGAGAGGGUGAUCGGCCACACUGGAACUGAGACACGGUCCAGACUCCUACGGGAGGCAGCAGUAGGGAAUCUUCCGCAAUGGGCGAAAGCCUGACGGAGCAACGCCGCGUGAGUGAUGAAGGUCUUCGGAUCGUAAAACUCUGUUAUUAGGGAAGAACAAAUGUGUAAGUAACUAUGCACGUCUUGACGGUACCUAAUCAGAAAGCCACGGCUAACUACGUG
rnacentral:rRNA from 1 species